GACGAACGCUGGCGGCGUGCUUAACACAUGCAAGUCGAACGGUGAUGCAGGGCUUGCUCUGCGGAUCAGUGGCGAACGGGUGAGUAACACGUGAGUAACCUGCCCUUGACUCUGGGAUAAGCGUUGGAAACGACGUCUAAUACUGGAUAUGACUUAUGGACGCAUGUCUGUGGGUGGAAAGAUUUUUCGGUUGGGGAUGGACUCGCGGCCUAUCAGCUUGUUGGUGAGGUAAUGGCUCACCAAGGCGACGACGGGUAGCCGGCCUGAGAGGGUGACCGGCCACACUGGGACUGAGACACGGCCCAGACUCCUACGGGAGGCAGCAGUGGGGAAUAUUGCACAAUGGGCGCAAGCCUGAUGCAGCAACGCCGCGUGAGGGACGACGGCCUUCGGGUUGUAAACCUCUUUUGGCAGGGAAGAAGCGGAAGUGACGGUACCUGCAGAAAAAGCACCGGCUAACUACGUGCCAGCAGCCGCGGUAAUACGUAGGGUGCAAGCGUUGUCCGGAAUUAUUGGGCGUAAAGAGCUCGUAGGCGGUUUGUCGCGUCUGCUGUGAAAACGCGAGGCUCAACCUCGCGCCUGCAGUGGGUACGGGCAGACUAGAGUGUGGUAGGGGAGAUUGGAAUUCCUGGUGUAGCGGUGGAAUGCGCAGAUAUCAGGAGGAACACCGAUGGCGAAGGCAGAUCUCUGGGCCAUUACUGACGCUGAGGAGCGAAAGCGUGGGGAGCGAACAGGAUUAGAUACCCUGGUAGUCCACGCCGUAAACGUUGGGAACUAGAUGUGGGGGCCAUUCCACGGUCUCCGUGUCGCAGCUAACGCAUUAAGUUCCCCGCCUGGGGAGUACGGCCGCAAGGCUAAAACUCAAAGGAAUUGACGGGGGCCCGCACAAGCGGCGGAGCAUGCGGAUUAAUUCGAUGCAACGCGAAGAACCUUACCAAGGCUUGACAUGCACCUGAAAAGGCUGGAAACAGUCUCCUCGCAAGACAGGUGCACAGGUGGUGCAUGGUUGUCGUCAGCUCGUGUCGUGAGAUGUUGGGUUAAGUCCCGCAACGAGCGCAACCCUCGUUCUAUGUUGCCAGCGCGUUAUGGCGGGAACUCAUAGGAGACUGCCGGGGUCAACUCGGAGGAAGGUGGGGAUGACGUCAAAUCAUCAUGCCCCUUAUGUCUUGGGCUUCACGCAUGCUACAAUGGCCGGUACAAAGGGCUGCGAUACCGUAAGGUGGAGCGAAUCCCAAAAAGCCGGUCUCAGUUCGGAUUGAGGUCUGCAACUCGACCUCAUGAAGUCGGAGUCGCUAGUAAUCGCAGAUCAGCAACGCUGCGGUGAAUACGUUCCCGGGCCU
rnacentral:rRNA from 1 species